GUAGCAAGGUUAACCGAAUAGGGGAGCCGAAGGGAAACCGAGUCUUAACUGGGCGUUAAGUUGCAGGGUAUAGACCCGAAACCCGGUGAUCUAGCCAUGGGCAGGUUGAAGGUUGGGUAACACUAACUGGAGGACCGAACCGACUAAUGUUGAAAAAUUAGCGGAUGACUUGUGGCUGGGGGUGAAAGGCCAAUCAAACCGGGAGAUAGCUGGUUCUCCCCGAAAGCUAUUUAGGUAGCGCCUCGUGAAUUCAUCUCCGGGGGUAGAGCACUGUUUCGGCAAGGGGGUCAUCCCGACUUACCAACCCGAUGCAAACUGCGAAUACCGGAGAAUGUUAUCACGGGAGACACACGGCGGGUGCUAACGUCCGUCGUGAAGAGGGAAACAACCCAGACCGCCAGCUAAGGUCCCAAAGUCAUGGUUAAGUGGGAAACGAUGUGGGAAGGCCCAGACAGCCAGGAUGUUGGCUUAGAAGCAGCCAUCAUUUAAAGAAAGCGUAAUAGCUCACUGGUCGAGUCGGCCUGCGCGGAAGAUGUAACGGGGCUAAACCAUGCACCGAAGCUGCGGCAGCGACGCUGAUGCGUUGUUGGGUAGGGGAGCGUUCUGUAAGCCUGUGAAGGUGUGCUGUGAGGCAUGCUGGAGGUAUCAGAAGUGCGAAUGCUGACAUAAGUAACGAUAAAGCGGGUGAAAAGCCCGCUCGCCGGAAGACCAAGGGUUCCUGUCCAACGUUAAUCGGGGCAGGGUGAGUCGACCCCUAAGGCGAGGCCGAAAGGCGUAGUCGAUGGGAAACAGGUUAAUAUUCCUGUACUUGGUGUUACUGCGAAGGGGGGACGGAGAAGGCUAUGUUGGCCGGGCGACGGUUGUCCCGGUUUAAGCGUGUAGGCUGGUUUUCCAGGCAAAUCCGGAAAAUCAAGGCUGAGGCGUGAUGACGAGGCACUACGGUGCUGAAGCAACAAAUGCCCUGCUUCCAGGAAAAGCCUCUAAGCAUCAGGUAACAUCAAAUCGUACCCCAAACCGACACAGGUGGUCAGGUAGAGAAUACCAAGGCGCUUGAGAGAACUCGGGUGAAGGAACUAGGCAAAAUGGUGCCGUAACUUCGGGAGAAGGCACGCUGAUACGUAGGUGAAGUCCCUCGCGGAUGGAGCUGAAAUCAGUCGAAGAUACCAGCUGGCUGCAACUGUUUAUUAAAAACACAGCACUGUGCAAACACGAAAGUGGACGUAUACGGUGUGACGCCUGCCCGGUGCCGGAAGGUUAAUUGAUGGGGUCAGCGCAAGCGAAGCUCUUGAUCGAAGCCCCGGUAAACGGCGGCCGUAACUAUAACGGUCCUAAGGUAGCGAAAUUCCUUGUCGGGUAAGUUCCGACCUGCACGAAUGGCGUAAUGAUGGCCAGGC
rnacentral:rRNA from 1 species